GCGGUUUCUUGUUUCCGUUGCUUUAGCAAUCUGGGGCUGCUUCUGAGGGGUCUGCUUGACCGCCAUCAAGUUUAGUACUUCUCAAGUCAUUGUUUGAUUCAGCUGGUGAUGAAAUGGGAGUCAGCCAGUCUGUGGGCUUUCCACCUGUAACAGGACCCCACCUUGUGGGCUGCGGAGAUGUGAUGGAGGGUCACAGUCUCCAGGGGAGCUUCUUUCGACUCUUCUAUCCCUGCCAAGAGGCAGAAAAGACCGAACAGCAGCCCCUGUGGAUUCCCCGCUAUGAAUACUGCACUGGCCUGGCUGAUUACCUGCAGUUUAAUAAACGCUGGGGAGGGUUGCUGUUCAACCUGGCUGUGGGAUCUUGUCGCCUGCCGGUCAGCUGGAAUGGCCCCUUUAAGACAAAGGAUUCUGGAUAUCCCUUGAUCAUCUUUUCCCAUGGCCUGGGAACCUUCAGAAGAAAAAAUGAAUCAGUGUUUGUGUGGGAUUGGAAAGCACAAUGGAUGCUUCAUGGAGGAGGACAUUCAGAGCCUUGGACAUUAUAUUCAGCCUUCUGCAUGGAGCUGGCCUCCCGAGGCUUUGUGGUUGCUGUGCCAGAACACAGGGACCGAUCAGCUGCAGCCACCUAUUUCUGCAAGCAGGCCCCAGAGGAGAACCAGCCUACCAGUGAGUCACUGGAGGAAGAGUGGAUCCCCUACCGUCGAGUUGGGGAUGGAGAGAAGGAAUUCCGUGUUCGGAAUCCCCAGGUACAUCAGAGGGUGAGCGAGUGUAUGCGGGUGUUGAAGAUAUUACAAGAGAUCACUGCUGGGAGGACUGUCCUCAACAUCUUACCUGGUGGCCUGGAUCUGAUGACCUUGAAGGGCAGCAUUGACAUGAGCCGCGUGGCUGUGAUGGGACAUUCUUUUGGAGGGGCCACAGCUAUUCUGGCUUUGGUCAAGGAGACCCAGUUUCGGUGUGCUGUGGCUCUGGAUGCUUGGAUGUUUCCCCUGGAGCGUGACUUUUACCCCAAUGCCCGAGGCCCUGUAUUCUUCAUCAAUACCGAGAACUUCCAGACAGUGGAGAGUGUCAGUUUGAUGAAGAAGAUAUGUGCCCAGCAUGAACAAUCCAGGAUCAUAACCGUCCUUGGUUCUGUUCAUCGGAGUCAAACUGACUUUGCUUUUGUGACUGGCAAUUUGAUUGGUAAAUUAUUCUCCACUCAAACCCGUGGGAGUUUGGACCCCUAUGAGGGUCAGGAGAUUGUGGUGCAUGCCAUGCUGGCCUUCCUGCAGAAGCACCUUGAUCUAAUGGAGGACUAUGAUCAAUGGAACAACUUUGUUGAAGGCAUUGGACCAUCGCUUGCUCCAGGGGCCCCACGCCAAUUGUCCAGCCUGUAGGCACAACUGGCCAUCUUCAAAAGGUCACUUGAGCUGAGUUUCCAUUUGGGGGCUGCCUAAGAGAAUCCAUAGUCUCCCACCAGGAAGUGGCCAACACAGUCCUUCUUCACAGAUUGAGAGGACUUAAUUACACUGCUGAUGGAUAACUGGGUACUUUGAUCUUGGACUUGUUGAUCUUAAAUUCACACUGGGACUUGAAUCACUUAUUGAUUGGCAAAUUGACUUUCUGGGGCCUGAGCCUUGAUGGGUGGGGAGCAAGCAAGGGGUGGGGCUGAUGGGAGAUCCAGUCCCCGGGCUGUGCACUCUGAAGCCUGGAUACGCAGACUUAGCCCAGCGAGUCUGCUCCAUCAUCUUGAGCCAGUGUGGCUUCUGCAGUGGAAGAGGUGAAGCUGAAGAUUGGAGUUGAAAUCACCACUUUCAGGACCUCUUGCCCAGCCUGGCACUAUCUCUUUCUACCUCUCAACCUUUUCCCUCCCCAGGGCCACUUGCAUUGCUUCCAGUUCUCCUCCUCUGAGAAACUUACUCUGCAAACCUUGUGUACUCGUCUCCAGCAUCCUCUCUCUCCUGCCUGCUAUAAAUGCCUGGAUCUCUUCUCAGAUCCGGACAGGUCGCAGCAGGACUUUUGGACCCUGUCGGAGACCAGCAGACAGCAGAGAGGAGCCUGAGGGAAUGGAAAAGGGUAAGAGUAGUGACCUUUUUGCAUGUGACCUGUCCUUAAGCCAUCUGCUCUUGCAAAUCCCUACUAGCAGCCUACAGCAGCAAGGCGGAGGAACAGGGGUAUUUGAAACACAAAUUAUCAGUGAUUACAAGGCAAUGGGUAUGGGAGCUGUUUUUCUUCCCCCUCCCCAGGUGGACAAGGUUUAUGAAGGCUAAGGGGAGUGCUUUUUUUCUGGCUGGCCCAGUGCCCCUCCCAUGCAAUGACCAGGGGACGCUCAGGAGCUCCUGGGAGUGGGAAUGGCCUAGCUUCCAGAAAGACAAGUUGAAAACCCAGCUACAAGGUAAGCUCCAGAGCCUGGACCCUUGCAAAUUAGUCUUUUGGCCUGGUUACCAUGGAGACAGACAGGCAGCAGCUGCACGGGAAGAGAGAACGUCAGCUUCUCCGACAUCUAGGAUUCUGAGACAGCCGUGGUGGGGGAGGGGGCCUGACACCACCCCUUCUCCCCCAAAUAUGGAGGCCCCAGUCUGCCCCACCCCUACAACCACAGGGCCUUGUGAGUUGCCACCAUCACACAACGAGAUGGUGGCAGAGCUGGAGCCUGACCUGUUUCCUGCUUCUAGGCCAGUACCCUCCCCGCUACAACACAGUUGUCUCCUGUGCCUCUAGCCCAGCUUUUGGAGCACACAGAUUUUCCAGCACCGAGCUCUUGGGACCUGGGGAGGGUUCCCAAGCUACCUCCUUGGAAGGGAUAAGUCAUCAGAGGUGAAUCCCAGAGAGCUGGCCACUGGAGGCCAAAGCUGUCUCUCUGGAAAACCUGGUCUUGUGGGUGGCGAUUAGCCAUUGUCUAGGAAAGGACCUUGAGGCUGAGCCCAGAGGGAACUCUGGCAAAUGGUGGGGUUUAUUGUUCCCUCAUUUGAUGCCACACUGAUAUCAUUAAUUUGUGGCUUCAGCAACCGUGCUGCCUGGCUGGCUGUCCUCCAAGCCCUGUCCCUACCCUGGCUCGCCCCCAUCCUAUGAGUUAUCUCUGGAAAUUGAAGGUGGGAGAGGAGGGGCCUAGAAUUCAGGUCGCCUGGGUCUGCUUUCCCAGCAGAGCUGUCGGAAGGUUGUGUCUCAGCAUUUCGGGUUCCUGCUCUUUGGUAAAAGGAGAAACGAGGCUGGUGUUAUUUAGGGCUUCGAGUUCCUGGGCUUUGGAUGUGCGCAAAGUCCUUAUAUAAGAGAACAGAGGCCUAGUGUGAAGGGACAAGAGAGAAAUGGAAAACAGCAGAGGCCACUGGGGUUGUUUAUGUUUCUGUGCUUUAAUUAUGAAGGUAAUUCAUGAGUGUGCAUUAAAGAAAAACAUCAGUACUAAUGUGUAGGAAGUAAAUUGAGAAAAUUACCCAUCAUCUCAAGCCCCAUCCCUCACCCCCAGUGGAAACUACUGAUAAUUUUGUUGGGUAUCUUUUUAGAUCUUUUGCUAGCCUUAUAUUUUUUCCCUGUAUUAUUAUUACUUUUUAAUUAUACAAAUGAUACAAAAAUACAUUCUUAUAAAAAACAUAAAAACAAAAGCAAAAGUCUCCUUUUAGUCUAUUCCCGUUCCGAAGAUAUUUAGUGUUAACAGUUUAAUGUCCUCCAUACAUUUAUGUACAAACACAAAUAUAUAUUUUCAGCUUUUCUUUAUUUAAGAUAAAUGCAAUCAUAAUAUCCAUAUUAUUCUGCAGGCUGCUUUCCUCCUUCACUAGUAAGUUACUCAGUGGAUUUUUCCAUGUUAGUAGAUCUACCCAGUCUCUAUAAGUGCUGCUUAACAUUCUACGUUAUGGAUGUACUAUAACUUUUUUAAACAGUCCCCUCCUAUAGACACUUACAUUGUUUACAAUGUUUUGUUAUUACAAAUAAUGCUUGAGCCUUGUACAUAGAUUUAUGUAGCAUUAAUUUCUAGAAGUAGAAUUACUGAGUUAAUGUGUUUGUACAUCUUUAUUUUUUCUUAUUUCUCCUAAAUACUUUAUAUUUUCUAAUUAUCAAUGUCAUAGAUGCCUUUUGCAGUGAACUUGAAAAGUAUAGAAAACUAAAAAGGGGAAGAAAUCAUUCAAGGCCCCACCCCAGGGACCAUGAACAUUUACUCUUUGGUAUAUUUCCUUCCAGCAUUUUUAUGCCUGUUAUCAUGACAAUGCUCAGAUCAUGCAGUAUAGAGAAUUUUCCAUCCUGAUUUUUCUUUUUACUUAAUAUUAUAAGCAUUUUCUUAUGACACUAAAAUAUUUUUAUAAGCAUCCUUUUUAUGGUUUCAUGAUAGGUAUCAUUUUCUAUCAUUUUCUUAGCUAUUCCUCUGAUGUUGGACUUUUACGUUGUCUACAUUUUUUCACAAUGAUAAAUAAUACCUCAGUGACUAUCUUUUUGCCUAAAUCUUUGUCUGAAGUUUGAUAUUUUCCUUAAGGUAGUUUCCCAAAAGGAGAAUUACUGGGCCUAGAGAUAGAGAUUUUAGUAAAUCUAUUUUUUAAGUUUAAUUUUGGAUUGCUAAUAUGUACACAUGGUACAAAAUUCCAAAGUUACUAAAGGUAACACAAUGAAAAGUGUGCCUUUCUCCUACUUGGUCCGUUAGCCAUGGUUUUCCUCCUGUGCUUUUUUUUGUUGUUGUUGUUGUUUUGUUUUGUUUUGUAUAUCUUUCUUUGGGGUGGUAGUGGGGGAUAAAAAACUUCCUUUUUUCAUAUAAAAAUAGCACAUGAGAAUACUUUUUGCACUUUUCUCUUUUCACUUAAUAUUUCUUGAUGAUCAUUCCAUAUAUAAAAUAUAGAGAUGCCUCAUUUUCUAAAAAUAUUGGAUAGAGUUUAUUUAAAUUAAUGUGAUGAUCAAUUCUGUUGAUAGAUUUUUAGGUUUUCCAACUUUUGCUAUUUGAACAGUACGGUAAUGAAUUUCCUUAUAUAUAUCCCAUUUUGUACAUCUAUUAGUUCAUCGUCCGUAGGAUGAUGCCUUUAAUUGGAACUGCUGGUUCUUAGGGAGUAUGCAUUUUAUAUGUUGGUAGCUAUUGCUAAAUUACUAUCCAUACAGGGUACCCAUUUCCUCAUUAGUAGGUAUGGACAGUUAUUUAAACUCUUGAUACAAAUGGCCAAACUGCUUUCCAGCAAAGUAUGACUUGUUUCCAUUUUUACCAGUAAUUAGGCAGUGCCUGUUUACACCUCCUACUGAUUUGCCUAAUCUGACAAUUGAAAAAAAUACUAUGGUGAUGUUUGGAGUGUUUAUUCUCUCUCUCUUUUUUUAAGAAUCUGUGAAAGAUUAGCAAAAGUGAACAAAUAAAUUUAUUAAAAUCAUAGAAUCUGGGAGCUCUUCCUAAUCCCAGUUUUACCACGACAUAUAUGUGACCUUGGCAAAUUUCUUAGAGCUCCUGAAAGGAAGGAAAUGAGAGAAUUCACUUAAUGAAGUGCUUCACAAGUAGCAAGGACACAAAAGAUGGCAGCUGAGAAGAGAUGCUUGUUAAGGAAAAAAUGCCCAUCCUCCAAGUUAUCCCAACUGUCAGAAGGGAGUAUUCCAGGCUCUGAAAAGUAGGCUGGGCGGAGCCUGCUGCUUUGUUCUUUCCCUCAAAUUCUCCCGCUGCUGGUCUUUCCUGCUUUGAAGAGGAAAACUGAAAUCUGGCCACUAGUAGGUAGGAAGACCAGGACCCGCCCUUUAAGAGGGGCUCAGGUCCGGGACCUGUAUCAGAUUCACCUUGAAGGAGCCAAGGAGGGCUUAGCCUUCAUCUUCCAAGGAGGUUCUUGGCAGGUCCAGAGUCCUGUCCUGCAGCUUCCUACAGCCUAAUCCGGCUGGGCAGUGCGAAGAGCUGGCCCAGCUUUCCGUUUCUUACUCAAAUCUAAAAGCAAGCUGUGGCUGCACUAUCCUCCCGGUAGCUGAAUAUUUCAGAGCCGCCCCAGCUGGGUGAGCCGUCAGACUGCUCUUGGCAUGGAGGUCCCAGGUGCACUGGCUCCUUCCAAAACUUGUGAAAUCUAAUUAGUGCGGUUCACUGCAGCUCUGCCCCCUUCCAACCAACUCGGGCGCCCGCUUCAGGGCCGCCUCUCCCAGGUCUGCAGGUGGCAGGGAUGUGCCGCAGCUGCUCGCGUGGGUACCUGUCGGGAUUCAGGGUGGCCACCUGUGGGUCCCUCCGCACCUCCACGGAUCCAGUGGGCGUGGCCUCUCCUCCCAGAACGGUGCUGCUGCACUGAAAAAGCAGCGACUAUAACAGCCAUUUCUGUUCCCACUCGCGUCUUGGCGGGGGAAGGGAGCCAAUCGCAAUCCUGGGUGUAGCUGGGAAGCUGCAGGUAGAAAGUGCCCGGGGUGGGAGAGCAGACCUGUGGAGCGUAGGGAAGCCAUUUUCAGGGAGGAUUUGGAGUUAAUUUCCACUCCAGUGUUGUAUUUUAGCCAUUUUCUCCCUCUCCACCCCACCCACGCCUCUCUACACUCGAUUUUUCCUUGGUCUUUCUUCUCUGAAGACAGUAUGGUGUGUGAAAAGAUUAUGCAUGGGAACCUGUGGUCUGGGGUCUAGUCUUGGCCCUGUCCCUAACCAAUGGCUCUAAGACAGUGAGCAAGCAGUUGCAGCCACCAGCCUUCUCAUCUCUAGGAAUGCAGGGAAGGAAUAAAAUCCGGCUGUGUCAAGUAUUAGUGAGGGUGUGGGAAAAUAGGUUGUCCAUUUCGAGUAAACCUGAAAAUAUUCAUACCCUGUGUCCUGAUAAUUCCAUUUCUGGUUUCUACCCUGGAGAAAUACUUGCACAUGUAAGCAAGGAGGAUAUCCAUUGCAGGACCAUACCUAAUACACCAUUGGGAACUGCCUAAUGGCCAGCACCAAGGAAUAUAAACACAGAAUAUGGUCUAUAUACCAAUAGGUCACUACAUCACAGAUCUACAUAUUCAGGACAUGGAUAGAGCUCAAAAUACAUCAGUACAAACAUAAAGUUGCAGAAUAAUACAAACAACAUAGUACAAUUUUUGCAACACAUAAAACAGAACUGUGAAUUUUCUAUGAUUGUCAUUCAAGCAGAUGUAAAAGCAUUUUUAAGACAAGAAAGGACUGAAAGAUACACUCCUAACUCAUAAGAGUGGCUAUCUCUGGAAAGAAGGACAGGGAGUCUGGAUAUUGAAGGCAUGUGAAAGGGAAAUCUAGCUCUCUUUGUAGAAUAGUCUAAUUUUUUCUUUAAAUAAUGACAAUGCAUUCAUAUAUUCCUUAAGGAAUUUUAAACUGUUAAUAAAGAAAACACUGAAAGCAAAUAUAUCAAAAUGUCAACAAUAGUUAAUUCCAGAUGAUGGGAAAUAUGAAUAAGUGUUUUCUUCGUUGUGCUUUUUUGUUUUAGUUUUAGUUUCUUAAAAUGCAGGAAAAGGGCUCAAGAGUGUGUGUUCUGGAAAGUCUCUCAGCUCAAAGAGCCUGCACUCUGGGAUUCUAGAUAAAGUCCUAACCCCACCUUGAAGGGCUUAAGAGGCCCUUUGUGGCGUGCCCCAGCCCACCUCUCCAGUCUCCAUUGUCUUCCCACUCCUCAACCUGAAAUCCGUGAGCUCCAGCCAGGGCAAACUACUUGCAGCUCACCUACUGUGCAAGGCUCUAUCUCUUCCAGGCAUAAUCUGAGCUGUCCUCUACCUGGCAUACUCUCCCCAUUCCUCUGCCUGCCCCUUCCUCUGGGAGGCCUUCCGUGAUCUGCCUCCCCUGCCUAGGUUAGGGGUUGUUCCCCUAUGCUCCCUCCACACUCUGAGCUGGCUGCCAAUUUACUGUGAGCUCCUGGAAGCUCAGGGAAUUGCCAUCUUCAUUCCUGUACUCUCAGGGCCCAGCACAGGUAGUCAAAAAAGUUUAUUUGUAUUUAACUAGAUACCAAUAUUUUCAAGUCAGGAAAUUUCACAAGGAAUUCCAAAUUCCUGCUUCUCCAGCUGCAGGACAGCCACCAGCUAAAGCUGAGUGGAUGCUCUCCUCCCUGCUUUUAGACUGAGGCCUGCACUCUGCAGGCUGCUACAAGCCCCACCAGUACCGCUUCCUCUCCUGGUCCCCCAGGGAUUAGAGUUGGCAUGUCCCCAUGUUGGGAAUGGAUCAGAGGGAGGGGGUCAGACUGAAGGCCAAUUGGGAGGCUGCUGUAGUAAUCCAAUGAAGAGUGGUGGGGCCCGCCCAAGCACUGUGGUAGACUGCAUGCUUACUUAUUGAUCCAGGGCUUAGUUGAAAGAGGUCUUGUUGUCUACCUAGCAAUAAGUCCCCUAGGGUCUAUAAAUCAACCCUGAGCUGCAAUGAUGCAAUUGCUUUUCUCUUGCACAGCAUCCUCCCUCUCCACCCCCAUGCCUUACACCCCAGGCAUCACUGAUUGACUUCUACUCAGUGUAUACUUUCAGCCUGCCUUGGAAUGCCUGUGAUUUCAGCAGCCUUCCUUGCAACUUCCUGUGACAGCUGCAACCACUGUUCUCACUUGAAUUGCUAAGCUUGCUGAUAAAUGCCAACUGCUUGAAAGUGUUCUCAGUGACUGGGAACAUGCUCCCGUGCCAGGCCAUGGAAGAAUGGGCUAUGAAAUGGCCCAGAAAUUUAAUAAAUUAAAAGAAACUAGCAAUUUCUCCCAAUUUUUAGGUCCACAAGAGUCUAUUAAAGAAAUAGCUAGAUCUAAAAUGAGAAUCAUUCUCCUAGCCCCAUGUGGGAGGAAGGGUCGAUUUACCUAUUCAAAGCCCCAGGAGUCCAGCAGAGGGUGAGUGGUGCUACCUCCCUGUGCUGGUUUGGAUAUAUUGUGUCCCCCAAAAGCCAUGUUCUUUUAUGCAAUCUUGUGAGGGCAGACAUUAAUCUUUGAUGAGUUUUUCCAUGGAGAUGUGAUUCAGUCAACUGUGGG